rnacentral:misc_RNA from 1 species
UUUCCGUAGGUGAACCUGCGGAAGGAUCAUUAUUGAAUACGAUUGGUACUGAUGCUGGCUCUUCUAGGGCAUGUGCUCGCUUUUCUUUCAAUCUUCAUCCACCUGUGCACUUUUUGUAGAGAGUCUGAGAAAAUGGGCCUUGUAAAAGGGGCACAUAGCAUUGGGCUUUCUAUGUCUUACACACACUUAAUGUAUGUUUUUGAAUGUCUUUUACAAGGGACUUGAUUGACCCUUUUAAAAACAAUACAACUUUCAGCAACGGAUCUCUUGGCUCUCGCAUCGAUGAAGAACGCAGC